rnacentral:lncRNA from 1 species
GCCUUCUCCAUUGCACGUGCGUGCCAUCUUACCUUCUCAUCGUCCAUCUCCAGGGGAACCAUACAGAAGUCAAGCGUCAUGGGAGGCACAUGCAUGCGCCUAUUCCGGGUUAUCUUGCCAAGGGGGACACUCCUGCGCAAGAGAGUAAGCAAGCGGCGCACACGCCAUGAAAACGUCCCCUUUGAACAGAUUUUGGAAGCAAGUUGCAGGGUGUCCACUGUCUCGUUAGCGUAAGGUUUCACUCCAAGGAUGAGUUGGACUGUCUUGCUGAUGCCCAAGCGGCCGAGAAUCGAGAAUGUUGAAAAAAAAAAGAUGGACGAAAAUUAAAAUGAGAACACAUACAAAAAGCAAAAAGUUACUGCAUGCAUUGUCGUCUUGCAGCAUUUAAAAGAAGGGCAUACAACUGUCAACUUCUUCUAAGUACCAGAAUUUUCUCAUUGUUACAUGUUCUCAAAUAUAUCUAGUAUUUCCGAGAUCUCAGUUCAACGAAAAGACAACAAAAAAAAACGCAUAAAAGAAAAACCGGAAACUUUUAUGACGAUCAAAUGGUUCUAAGUACCAGAGUAUUGUCCUUGUUACAUUUUCUCCAAUAUAUCUAAUAUUUCCGAGAUCUCGUCUCAAUAAAAGGACAACCAGAAAAGUAUACGACGGUUAAAUGGUUCUAAGUACCAUAGUAUUCUCCGUGUUACAUUUUCUCAAAUAUAUCUAACAUUUCUGAGAUCUCAGCUCAAUAAAAGGAAAACCAGAAACGUAUACAACGGUUAAAUGGUUCUAGGUACCCGAGUUUUUCCUCGUUACAUUUUCUCAGAUAUAUCUAAUACUUUCGAGAUCGCGGCUCAAUAAAAGAAAAACAGAAAACGUAUACAACGGUCAGCUUCUUCCAACCACCAGAGUUUUCUCCAUGUUACGAUUUCUCAGAUACAUCUAAUAUUUCCGUGAUCUCGACUCAAUAAAAGGAAAACCGAAACCCAUAAAAAAAAUCACAGAAACGUAUACAAAGGUCAACUUUUCCGGAGUACCGGAGUUUUUUGCUUGUUACAUUUUCUCAAAUAUGUCUGAUAUUUCCGAGAUCUCGGCUCAAUAAAAGGAAAAACAGAAACGCAUAAG